rnacentral:rRNA from 1 species
CUACGGGUGGCUGCAGUAGAGAAUCUUCCGCAAUGGGCGAAAGCCUGACGGAGCGACACCGCGUGAAGGAUGAAGGCCCUCGGGUUGUAAACUUCUUUUCUGAGGGACGAAAAUUUGACGGUACCUCAGGAAUAAGCCCCGGCUAAUUACGUGCCAGCAGCCGCGGUAAUACGUAAGGGGCAAACGUUAUCCGGAAUUAUUGGGCGUAAAGCGUCCGCAGGGGGCGUAGCAAGUCUAUCAUUAAAUACCAGUGCUUAACAUUGGUGCCGUGAUGGAAACUGCUACUGCUAGAGGAUGAGAGAGGCAUAUGGAAUUGUGCAAGUAGGGGUAAAAUCCGUAGAUAUGCACAGGAACACCAAAAGCGAAGGCAGUAUGCUGGCUCAUUCCUGACACUCAGGGACGAAAGCGUGGGGAGCGAAACGGAUUAGAUACCCCUGUAGUC